AAAUCUUUUUAUGUGUUUAGAGAAAUAUGCCAUUAGAAAGCUAGGAUCUGGUUCUUCUGGAAUUAAACAAGAAAAGUCUAUUUUUUAAAAAUCACUUAAAGAAUGAAGGUAUGGAUUUAUAAGGAGAAGUCUAGGCAGCUGGAUAAGCCGAUAGCUGAAGAUAGAUAAGAUAAAAAUAAUAAUGUGGCUGAAAUUUAUAAAUGCCAUUGAAGAGAGAAAACCAUUUGUCAUCCUGAUUUUUCUGGUAUAUCUUGGAAUAUGAUGAUAUCACAAAGUGCCAAAAACAUUUUUCCCCACUUUUAAGGUUAUGGGACCUGCUGCCCUAGAAUGCAACUUCUGGUAAAAGAAGUCAUUUGCUGUUAAUACAAUAGGAACUGAUUCACUAUGAGCAGAUUUAAUUGUGUAAAGUCCUUUGAGAUUCCAUGAAAUCAUUCUGUUAAUGUUGACUAUAAUUUAAAUUGAACUAGUUGAAUUAGAAUGCCUUACAAUGAAGAAAAUAAAUCAACCUAUACCAUUGCUAAUUCUAACAGGGGACAACAGUUUACCUGCCUCCCAGAAGGAUGCUGAGUAGCCAUGUCAACUCUCUCAACCAACAACAGUCAAUGUAGCUCAAAGUGCAGGGUGGAUGUGAGAUGAGACAUUUGAGAGAGAGUGAGCAAACCCUGCUGGAAUAAAGAUAACCUGGCCUCAUAUUAACAUCAAAUGUCUAGAAUUCCAAAAACAGAAGAUCACACAAACUAUGCUAACUCCGAGUGGAAUUUCAAGACAUUAAUGUAAGAGAGGGUGACCAAACCAUGCUGGAGUAAAGAUAACCUGUCCAGUAUUAUCCCAACGGACUGCUUGACAAAUCAUGAUUUGCCAAACUUAAUUCAGAGUUUUGCUCCUGUUGACCAGGCUAGAGUACAAU